CCUUUAAUAAGAGCUGUGGACUAUAUACGACGUGGUGAUUUAUUUUGGUGGUAUUGCUGUGAUCGUUGUCCUUUCAGUGUCUAUGUGGUGCAUACCUAUUUAUUUGUCGCUGUAGUGUAUGUUGUACUGCGCCCUGUCUUGAUGUUUGUACUGUCCUGUUGAUGUAUGUUGUUGCGUGUAGUGGCACAAUAAUUUCCCCCUUGGGGACUAUUAAAGUGCAAUCAAUCAAUCAGUUACACUUCCUGACUAUGUUAACCAACUUUUUUUGUUAACAAAGUUUAUGUCAGCUCCUCUGUAGUUUGUUUUGCAUUGACGGGUGAUUCAUUGAUAGCGCGUGUUUUCGUCCAAAUCCAAACAGAACUUUACACCCUGACCGCGACACUACCCUGUGUCCGCCGUGUACCUCUGGCUGGUCGUCGGGUAUGGGCUCCUCCUUGUUGUUGUGAAUGCUCUGGAAGCGCUGGAGGAGGGGCAGCAGUGGGGCGCUGGUGCCCUGCGUGGAGCGCUCGUUGUCCAUCUCCCGCGUGCCGUUGCCCCACAGACGCAGCAGCAGCAGCACCGCCGACAGCAGCUGGCUGGAGGACGGUGGGACCCAGAGGAAGAGAGUACUGUCUAUUGGACCACAGUGACAGCAGGACCGCUGGUCACACAUGAGUAUGACUACAACAGCGUGUUCCCCUGUCCUGAUUGGUUCGGAUAAGAGCCAUGCGAUGUCACUCGCCAUGUAUUAGUGUGAUAUCACAAAGUAUCUACGUAGCAUCGGGCAGCAAGAGGUCACAUCACCACGCGGGAUUGGACACUCGACUCCAGUUGUGAUGUCACAAAAGCGGACGAUUUUGAAACGGCUUAUAAUGGCUCACAUCCGAAAAAGAUCACCAUCUCAACAUGGCACCUGGUAGUGAAACAGGGGCCCUUUACGCAGCAGGGUAGAACGGAGCCCUACCUCAGGGUCCCCCUCUGCACAGCCAGCUCCAGGAGUAUAGCCAGAGCAAGGUGCUGGUCCUGCAGGGGAAUGUUGCCUUUGGCACUGGCACUUCCAUGGACAUCACUGGUUCCCCGCAAGACGGCAUCAGAACACAUGACACACAGGUUACACACAUAUCACCACAAAGUAUUUGGAAGUGCACUGAAGUACGCGGCGCUGCAUUGUAGCACGAUGUGGGUGAAGUACGGGGCAGUAUGCUGCAGUGUGGAGCCUCUCUCGGCACCUCACCUGAGGAACUUGGCGGCCCGUUCGACCACCUCCAGCCACACGGAGGAGACGGUGCCCUCGUCGAACAGUGUGGCCUCGGGCAGGGCCCGCAGCGCGUCCAGAGACUCCUGGAGCAGCUCGCUGCACAGGUCUGCAUCGUCCCCUACACCACCACAAUCAGGGGUUAAAGAAAGCCUGGACUGGGGUUUCAUAGAGGGGCACUUUGGUGCUUUAGAUCAGAAACAGUCUGUGUUCAUAUAGCACAAUUCGACCGGCAAGGCCCUUCAUAGCGACUCAAGGUCAUAGUGAUUAACAGUAAAUGCCUCACAUUCAAACACCAAAACACAUUCACAGACACUUUCCGCAUUCAUACACUGGCUCUCACACACGCAGGCAGUUUUUCAGCUGUUAAACAGCUGGGGGGGGGUUGAAUGACUGGUUCAAGGGCACUGCAGCCCUUUGUGCAAAGAGAAGCAUGGAUAUUCAACCGGCGACCUCCUUUGUUGGCCUAAGAAGAGCUCUAGCCCUGAUUAUAGAACAUAUCAUAAGUUCGAGCUCGGAGAUAAGCAAAGCUCCUAGGAACCGAACAACUGAAAACUGUCAAAAUACUUCAAUAUAUUUAAACAGUACUAUCUAAAUUAGGGGUGAAAAAAAUACUAAAUCUGGUUAUUUUUUACCUACUUUCAUGGUGUGUUGUAAUGCAAGCUGCAUUGAUUAUUGCAUUGUUCAUAGAAAGUCAUAUUUGUGACAAAAGCUUUUUCUCUAAUAAAAUAUUAGAUAAGGUAAUUCAUCUCUUGAUUUCUUUAAUGAUCAUCA